AGCGGUUUUUGGGACGUAAGAAACGAAGAAUUGUUACGGACUUUUCCAAGGCAUUGUACAUAAUACUUUGAUAUCCUAUAGAAUAUCAAAUUAUUAUUUAAGCAAUGUUGAGAAGAAUACAUUAUCGGGUAACAGGCGCGCACACACACACACACAAAGCGAGCAUGAAGCGGGUUUUUGAGACUGUCGUGCCGCUAUACUAUGUACACCUCUGUAAACUGAAACUUAAUGCCGGUGUGUGCCGCUAUGAUAAGGAACAAAAGAUAACAAUUCUUGUUUCCUACGCUGCCAAAAACCUCUUGUAACCAAACCGCAUUGUGGCCAAUGCCUAGGACGAGCUCACAAUCCCCGAAGGUCCCACUUUCCCUAUAAGAUAUAUAAGAAAAAUAAAUUUUAUAUUAAAUCAAGAUUAUAAAUUAGUUUAUUCUCUUUACGAUAUUUAAGAGAUAUUGUCCACAGAUUGUCCCUAGAUAAUUUAGGAACUUUUGUUCCAUCCUGUAGUUGGUAUUUUACUUAGCCACGCGGCAUUUUUAUAUAUAUACACUUUUCAAAUAUGUCUACUGUAUACACACUUUUCUGAACUGUUUAUAUUUAACAAAAAUACUAUUAAAUAAUAAAAAAUGAAAACAAUUAUAAAAGAAAA
rnacentral:lncRNA from 1 species